UCCCCUGAUAAGGGAAAGGUCAGUGGUUCGAGUCCACUUAGGCCCACUAUCUUGUAGCAAAAGAUUAGAAAGAGGGGAUGUAGCUCAAUUGGGAGAGCGCUGCCCUUGCAAGGCAGAGGUUAGCGGUUCGACCCCGCUCAUCUCCACCACUUUGA
rnacentral:tRNA from 1 species